rnacentral:rRNA from 1 species
AGAUUGAACGCUAGCGGCAUGCCUAACACAUGCAAGUCGAGCGGCAGCGCGGGGGCGACCCUGGCGGCGAGCGGCGGACGGGUGAGUAAUGCGUAGGAAUCUACCCACGAGUGGGGGAUAGCCCGGAGAAAUCCGGAUUAAUACCGCAUAAGCUCUGAGGAGGAAAGCGGGGGACCGAAAGGCCUCGCGCUGAAGGAGCGGCCGAUGUCCGAUUAGCUAGUUGGUGAGGUAAAGGCUUACCAAGGCGACGAUCGGUAGCUGGUCUGAGAGGAUGAUCAGCCACACUGGGACUGAGACACGGCCCAGACUCCUACGGGCGGCAGC